rnacentral:misc_RNA from 1 species
UGGUUCUGGCAUCGAUGAAGAACGCAGCGAAAUGCGAUAAGUAGUGUGAAUUGCAGAAUUCAGUGAAUCAUCGAAUCUUUGAACGCACAUUGCGCCCUAUAGUAUUCUGUAGGGCAUGCCUGUUCGAGCGUCAUUUAACCCCUCAAGCUCAGCUUGGUAUUGGGUGCUUGUCCCGCCUCCUGCGCGGCGACUCACCUCAAAGUCAUUGGCAGCCCGCAAUCGCCGGCCGUGAGCGCAGCACAGACGCGCUUGUGGAAUCCGGCGGCUCGGCUCUCCAAAAGCUUAUUUCAACCACAAUUGACCUCGGAUCAGGUAGGGAUACCCGCUGA